UAGAAAGUUGCGUUUCUGGUUUUGCUCUGAACAGCUUCUUCUCCGUUGCAGAUCAAUGUGGGCGGGACCAGCUGUUCAUCAUCUGAAGCUGCAGGAACUCCAAACACACAACUUCCUGUCUGUGUCUGUCAGGCUGACUGACAGUGAAUGAAGAGGACUGUAGAGUUUGUACUGACUAACAGAGAGUGUGCCGUGAGCAGAAACUUAAGGAGGCGCUGCAGUGAGAGGCCUCUUGUAUCGCCACAUCAGAGCUUAACUGUCAGGCAUCCUGCCAGGACAGCUGCACCUGUUUGGAGGACCCGCGGCUACGAGGCGCCUCAGUGGAGCGAGCCGCGAGCGAAUACUUCUUCCCCAACCUGAAGGUUGAAGCACAAAGAGGCCAGAUGGUACAACAGCUACGUUACGAUCACAAAGGCAAUCUCUUCAGCAGCCAGCAAGCUCCCUGCGACCCGCUGGACGAACGAACUCCACACGGAGGGAAAAAGGCUCUGAAGGGGUUCUGCUGAAGACCGGCUGCAGCUUUGUUGGCUUGCUUGAGCAGCGUUGACUCUGGAGAGGCGGCGGCGCGGUGAGAACCAGGACGGGUGACUGAUGGGUCCAGGAUGGGGAACAGGAAGCUGGAGUGGAUAAAACUCCUGAGGACGAAGCAAACGGCUCCGUCACACAACAGCCUGAAGACCAGGAACAGACGGUGAAAUUUCAUCCAGCCGUUUCUCUUUCUGACGGAGCGUCGCUGACAAACCUGCAGGUAAAACAUCUGAACCCAUAAAGGUAAAACAUCCAGCUAAUGAAACGACCAGAGCUGCCGUAUGGAGCUUUACCUUUAAUUUUCUCCUUGUUAAUUUAUCCUGUUGUCUUUGUAAACGGUUGGUUCAGUUUUAGCCUGUUUGUAAAAUGCUACAUAAAUAAACUUUACAUUGACAUUUAUGUUCUGUUGCUUUCCGUUUCAGUUCAGUAUCUUCUCCACAAGUUCUUCAUCACCAGAAAUCUGCGCUUCUUGCUUCACUGCACAAAUCCUUCACUGAAGCAAAUUACAGUAAUUAUGACUUUUUUCCACAGAUUUAAUGAUUAUGUGUUGAAAUGGGUGGAAAUUUAAAAUCUAUCAGACUAAAAGCUGCUGUGGAAAAAAAUCUUUCUCUUCUUAGAUUUCUUGUUUUUACUUAAACUUAAAUGUUUCAGAUUAUUAAAUUCUAACAGAUAACCUGAGAAACUGAAAGCAGAUUUUUGUUUCUCUUUGCAGUUGUUCUGUGUGCUUUUAUUCUGAAGUUUGUGUUUGUGAAGCUGACAGAUUUGUGGGCAGAUAUUUGAUCACUUUUUCAGUUUGGUUGAUGUUUGAACUGCUGCUGAUGCAGAAAUCAGGUUUUUCUGUUUCAGGCUCUUUACUCUGACCUUUGACCUCUCUGACUUAUUGCUCUGUUGUCAGGAUUUUACCACCAGGCGUUUUGUCCUGUAUGUCUUCUCUUUAAAUAAACAACACAUCAUAUUUUGAAUUGCAAAUUUAAAGAAAAUUGCAGCGUUGUCAUCUCAGAAGAUGUAUCAUUUGAUGUUGUGGAGGGGAGGAUGAUUUUUAAUUUGUAAACAUAAGUUUUAACGGUACGGAUCCGGACCCGGACCGUUAAAUGAGGUUCUUCACUUCCUGUUGGAAAGUCCAGGAUCAACUCCUGCUCAGCAAAAACACAGAAUGAACAUUUAAAUGUCGUCCUUCUAAAGUCUUUGACAUUUUACAAACUUGAGAUUAGUCAUAUUCAUAACCAAGUCGGUUUAAUUUGUGUAGUGCCAAAUGAUUUUUACUAAAUUCAUGAAAGUUUUUAUUUUAGCCACUAAUCUGUGAGAUCAAGCAUCUCUGGAGCAGAUCUGUUACCGU